AGUUAAGGACGUUUGAACUUUCCCAAAUUCACAGCUACCUUAAUCUUUAAGAUACUGAAUUUUCAAAUGAUCGUAACUUU